AUUGAACGCUGGCGGAAUGCUUUACACAUGCAAGUCGAGCGGCAGCGCGGGGGCAACCCUGGCGGCGAGCGGCGAACGGGUGAGUAAUACAUCGGAACGUGUCCUUCAAGUGGGGGAUAGCUCGGCGAAAGCCGGAUUAAUACCGCAUAAGCUCUGAGGAGGAAAGCGGGGGACGUGGUAACGGCCUCGCGCUGUUGGAGCGGCCGAUGUCGGAUUAGCUAGUUGGUGGGGUAAAGGCCCACCAAGGCGACGAUCCGUAGCUGGUCUGAGAGGAUGAUCAGCCACACUGGAACUGAGACACGGUCCAGACUCCUACGGGAGGCAGCAGUGGGGAAUUUUGGACAAUGGGGCAACCCUGAUCCAGCCAUUCCGCGUGAGUGAAGAAGGCCUCGG
rnacentral:rRNA from 1 species